rnacentral:lncRNA from 1 species
CUUUAGGACAUCAAUUUGAACUAAAUAUGCAAAGUAACAAACACAAAUCCUUGUCUUUAAAAACUUGCAAGCAGAUUCUGUCAAUCAACUUCUGAUCUUCUGGUUAAAGACAAUGGAUUGAAAAUACACAGUUAACUCUAUCCCUUCCUAAAAUAUCGCUAAACUGACAGAAAGGAAUUUUGUACAGGCCCACAAGUUCCAAAGAAAAGAAAAAAAAAAGAGAGAUUAUAGGAAUUUAAAUUUUUUAGCUGAAAAGUUAAAUGGUAACUCAUUUAGAAACCCAAAGGACAUUGAACCCUAAGCUGUAGCUGGAAAAGACAAUCAUAUUUUCACCAUACAAUGCCCUGCCUGCAAAUGGCUCAGAAAAAUGACGGCAUCAGCUGACCCUAGAAGCUUGGGUGGAGGUGAGACUGAAUAAGGACUGGUUAAAAGUGUUUAAGACACAAAACCAGACUCUCUGCUUCAUCCUAUAGAAAUGGGCAACUGUCUGUUUUCUCUCUAGCAGGACAUUGGAAGUUCAUUCUCUGCAUGGAGUAACAAGUUGGAGGGACAUCAAUUCUGUAGAGAGCUGGGAAACCCUAUUUAAUAUUGAAACCCCACAGUUAUCUUCACCUGGCCAGCUUCCAAUAAUUGGGCAGCCAGACUUGCCUUCCAAACAGAACAGAACCUGACCAGAUGAAAAUUUACAGAUACUGAUGUUCAAAGCCUGCAGAUGUUUUUAACCUCCAAUGUUAAAGACCAUUUAAAUAAACAGGAGUCUGUUCAUCGGGGGAAAACACAAUGCACAGAGCAAAGAUGGAGUGAAAUCAUCAAUUUAUUUGAGACAGAAGAGUUGUAUCUCCAAGUAUGAAGUAUAUCAAAUCAAUUUGCAACUUUAGACAUCCAAUACUUUUGAGUUCUUAUUGAGGUAGAAGAGCUUAGACCUUACAUUUCCUCAAUAAAAU